rnacentral:rRNA from 1 species
GACAGAGGUGCCGAGCGUUAGGCGGAAUCACUGGGCUUAAAGCGUGUGUAGGCGGGCGGGCAAGUACCUUGUGAAAUCCCACGGCUCAACCGUGGAACGGCUGGGUAUACUGCCUGUCUUGAGCCAACUAGGGGCGAGCGGAACAGACGGUGGAGCGGUGAAAUGCGUAGAUAUCGCCUGGAACGCCAAAGGUGAAAACAGACAGCUGGGAGUGUGCUGACGCUGAGACACGAAAGCCAGGGGAGCGAACGGG